rnacentral:rRNA from 1 species
AGUAAAUUCAAAUUACGAAAGCAAAAAAUUAUGGCGGUAUUCUAAGCUUUUCAGAGGAAUUUGCUCUUUAAUGGAUAAAACACCUAAAUCUUACUUUGAUUAGUUAGAUCAGUUUGUAUACCACUAUUAAAAUAAUAACGUACAAUUAUUAUUUAAAUAUAUAAAGUAUUAAAGAUUAAGUCAAGGUGCAGCUUAAAUCAAAGUAUGAAGUGAAUUACAUUACUUAUUAGAGGGAAAAUAUGAAAAAGAAAUUAGGAUUUGAAAGUAAAAUUGAAAUAAAAAGUUAACUUGAAUUAAGCUCUAGAAUAUGUACAUA